rnacentral:rRNA from 1 species
CCUACGGGCGGCUGCAGUGGGGAAUAUUGGACAAUGGGCGAAAGCCUGAUCCAGCCAUGCCGCGUGUGUGAAGAAGGCCUUCGGGUUGUAAAGCACUUUCAGUGGGGAAGAAAGCCUUGGGGCUAAUACCCUCGAGGAAGGACAUCACCCACAGAAGAAGCACCGGCUAACUCCGUGCCAGCAGCCGCGGUAAUACGGAGGGUGCGAGCGUUAAUCGGAAUUACUGGGCGUAAAGCGCGCGUAGGCGGUCUGAUAAGCCGGUUGUGAAAGCCCCGGGCUCAACCUGGGAACGGCAUCCGGAACUGUCAGGCUAGAGUGCAGGAGAGGAAGGUGGAAUUCCCGGUGUAGCGGUGAAAUGCGUAGAGAUCGGGAGGAAUACCAGUGGCGAAGGCGGCCUUCUGGACUGACACUGACGCUGAGGUGCGAAAGCGUGGGUAGCAAACAGGAUUAGAUACCCCGGUAGUC